rnacentral:rRNA from 1 species
UACGAAGGGGGCUAGCGUUGCUCGGAAUCACUGGGCGUAAAGCGCACGUAGGCGGGUCCUUAAGUCAGGGGUGAAAUCCCGGAGCUCAACUCCGGAACUGCCUUUGAUACUGGGGAUCUUGAGUCCGGAAGAGGUGAGUGGAACUCCGAGUGUAGAGGUGAAAUUCGUAGAUAUUCGGAAGAACACCAGUGGCGAAGGCGGCUCACUGGUCCGGUACUGACGCUGAGGAGCGAAAGCGUGGGGAGCGAACAGG